rnacentral:rRNA from 1 species
UACGUAGGGGGCGAGCGUUGUCCGGAUUUAUUGGGCGUAAAGAGCUCGUAGGCGGUUCGAUAAGUCGGACGUGAAAUCUCCACGCUCAACGUGGAGGGGCCGUUCGAUACUGUCGUGACUCGAGUCCGGUAGGGGAGUGUGGAAUUCCCGGUGUAGCGGUGAAAUGCGCAGAGAUCGGGAGGAACACCCGUAGCGAAGGCGGGUCUCUGGGCAACAACUGACGCUGAGGAGCGAAAGCGUGGGGAGCGAACAGG